CCUGAAUGAACAUUUUGGCCAACU
rnacentral:miRNA from 1 species